rnacentral:ncRNA from 1 species
CAACGUUCUCAGGGCGGGGUGUAACUCCCCACCGGCGGUAAUUACGCGCAAUGCGUAUAGCCCGCGAGCGCUUGGCAGGUCCCCAAAGCUACGGCUGACGGCCUGGCAAGGUCAGCAGACCCGGUGUGAUUCCGGGGCCGACGGUCAUAGUCCGGAUGAAGAGAGAACGGGA